GACGAACCGUGCGAACGUUGUUCGGAAUCACUGGGCUUAAAGGGCGCGUAGGCGGCUUCGCAAGUCCGGGGUGAAAGCCCCCAGCUCAACUGGGGAAGUGCCUUGGAUACUGCGGAGCUCGAGCGAGGUAGGGGUCGUGGGAACUUCCGGUGGAGCGGUGAAAUGCGUUGAUAUCGGAAGGAACGCCGGUGGCGAAAGCGCACGACUGGACCUCUUCUGACGCUGAGGCGCGAAAGCCAGGGGAGCAAACGGGG
rnacentral:rRNA from 1 species